AACGAACCCUUUCCAAAAGUCCCACAAAUCCAGCACAAUCAAACUCCACAGCAGGACAACAACCAGAACAACAACAUCACGGGAUUACUGAUCAACUCAUAAACCACGUCAAAUCUUUCACCAUUGACACCUUCAAAAAUUUCCCUCUCCAAGAUACAACUUUGAAGGAUGGACUGAGAGUUUCUAGAGAUAGUUGAAAUUGUGGAGAUUGAUUGACCUUUUUUAAUAUCUUUUUGAAAGAGGCGCUGAAUCAGGUAAAUUAUCGUGUGAUAAUUGUUGGGUGUGUUCCCAUAUAAGAUACUUGGAGUGUGGGCGGUUUUUCCCAAACAGAUGAAGAUGAAGCCACUUAUAGUAAAGAAGUUGAAUCUAAUUCAACCAGAGUUCGAAAUGAUCUUUCUCAGUGGCAAGAGAGACAUGCAGUUCUCAUACUCUCAACAGUUAAGGAAAUAUCACAUCUGAGAUAUGUACUAUGUCCUCGCCAUUUGAAGGAAAAUCAAUUCUGGAAAAUAUACUUUACGCUUACUAAGAGCCAUCUUGCCCCAUAUGAGCUACGUGCCAUACAACAAGAGAAACUGAAACAGAUGGCAAUGGAAGAUGAUAAAUCUUCAGAUAACCAUCCAUACGAAAUUGAAAUGGCAGAAGCAAAGCACGGGAACUUCAUAGAGCCUUUGCCACCCUCGUAGUAAGAAAAUAGUCACAGAUCAUAAUGGUUGGUAGUAGCUUGAACAUAACAUGUAGUAAACUAUUAAUUUCUUUGGUGAUAUAGGAACUGUUAUGUAACAUUUGAAGUUUGACAAUGCCUUCCUUCAAUUGAUAUUUCAUAUUGUUUCUGAAGUUA